rnacentral:misc_RNA from 1 species
GUCAAACUAAGGAUGUUACUGUUUAUCGCUUAAUCUGCAAAGAGACGGUUGAAGAAAAAAUUCUGCAGAGAGCCAGUCAGAAAAACACCGUGCAGCAGCUUGUCAUGACAGGUGGACAUGUCCAGGGUGACCUUUUGGCUCCGGAAGAUGUUGUUUCUUUGUUGAUUGAUGAUGCACAAUUGGAGCAGAAAAUGAAGGAAAUUCCUCUUCAGGCUAAAGAGAGACAAAAGAGGAAAGGUGGCACAAAAGGCAUUCGUAUUGGUGCAGAUGGUGAUGCAUCAUUAGAAGAUCUU